AGACGCUUCACUUGAGUUAAGGUUCGUCAUGUAGACAAGGCUAUUGUGUGCAUAUAGUUACAGCUACGGCUUAUAUGUAUGUUCAUCAUGGAAAGGUUACGUACCCUAAUCAUCCAUAUUAUUGAAUUCAGCAUCACUUAAUCUAAUUUUCAAAUGAUUAAUGUCUUUGACAUACUAAAAUAAUGUUUUUAUUCUAGACUUUCCGACCUGCACCCCCAAUUCCAGAGCUAGUUAAACUGCGCAACUACGCUGAGCUGCAGCAGGCUGCGGUGAAGGUCACUAAACUUGGAUCCUCAUUCGCAAUGAUGAGCGCCUCACCCUCGCACUGAGAGAAGAGGAUGACAGCCUGCCUCUGAAGUUGUCAUUCGAUGGUGCCUUAGAUGCCACCAUCAGCUGGAAAGGACACUUAGUGAAGACGCUGGAAGUUGAUGUGGAGCAUUCAGGCCUUGAGAUGGUGAUGAAGAAGCUCCAAAAUCUGCUAUGGUGCUCUGCAGACAGCAAAAGAUCGCCAAAGUGCAGGCUAAUUGUGGAUAGACCAGGUCACUGUUCAAUUUGUGUUGACGAAAUCAAAAAGAUCUCUGACCGUGAGAAACGACCAAUCACCUCACGAACACGUCUAAGCCAUGUCCCAAAAGAGGCCCUAUUAAAGAGCUGCGGCGUACCGUAUCCAGCUGAAGGAUGCAGUGACUGAACGAGAAAACAUUUCUUACCGUCUAGCUCGUGAAUCGGUCCCAGUCUCUCGUGAAGUGCAAGUAGGACUAAACAACCAUAAUUACAAACAGUGAAAGCUGAAAUCAAGGACGAAUUCUUAAGUCUGUUUUGGUCAGAA